rnacentral:rRNA from 1 species
GACGAACGCUGGCGGCGUGCUUAACACAUGCAAGUCGAACGAAGAGUGAUUACGGAUUCUCCGGAGGAAGUAUGAUCUGACGGAGGGGCGGAAGGGGGAGAACCGAGUGAGUAACCUGGGAUUCAGUGGGGGAUCGGGUUCGGAAACGGACGGAAAUACCGCAUAAUGUAGUUUGACAGCAUGAUCGAAUUACCAAAGAAUUAUCGCUGAGGGAUGGACUCGCGUCUGCUUAGGUAGAUGGUGGGGUAACGGCCGACCAAGCCGACGAUCAGAAGCCGGACUGCGGGGUUGCUCGGCCACCUUGGGACUGAGGCACGGCCCAGGCUCCUUCGGGAGGGAGCAGUGGCGUAUCUUGCACAAUGGGCGCAAGCCUGAUGCAGCUACGCCUCGUGAAGCAAGGCGGUUUUCGGAGUGUAAACUUCUGUUCUUAGUGAAGCAUAAUGACGGUACCUAAUGAGCAAGCCACGGCUAACUACGUG